GCCCUCCAUCCUUAUACACAUUAUUAUACACAGCGACACUAACACAGACGCCUCCAUUGUGCUGCUUCUCUCGAUCGUUGGCUCCUCAAGCGACGACGACUCCCCUGCUCGCCGCCGUUAACCAGCGCCUCCCCUGUGAAGCCACCGGCCGGAGACCGUCGCCCCCACAGCUACACCGGAGACUUCGACCUCACGGCUACAGACUUCUUCUUUGUCUCCAGAACCACCACUACACCACAAUUGCCUCCACAAUCACCACCUUCUUUAGUGGGUGAAUGAUUGUGGGAUGAUGAACACCUCAGAGGAAUGGAAAUCCUUGUGGUCAAUCUCUUCUGUACACUCACCACCCCUUCUCCUCUCACCUGCCACCACAACCGAUGGUGUCAAAAAAAUUGGGCCUUUGAUCUUUAACCCCUCUCCCAAAUCACAAACCCACAAUCAUCUCUUCACUUCACCUUCUGUUCCUCACAUCCCUCCACCUGUCUCUAACCUCUCCCUCUCUAGAUUCCUCCAUAAAUCAUCAUCUAUCCUUCCUUCCACAACCACUUCUAUCGCCUCACAACUCCCCUCAUCAUAUUCAAACCCUGAAACACUUCUUGCAUUCAACUCCCUUCAAUUGCUGCGAUGCCCUGGUUCGAAUUCGACUCUUGCAUUCUUUCCCACUGGUUCCAAUUCGGAUAAAAUUGGAUAUGUUAUGUUAUCUGUUAAGAAUUCUCAAUUGAAAGUCAGAGGAGAUCAUGGUGGGACCGAAGCUUUUACCACAAAAAGUGCAUUGAAUCAUCGGAUUGUCAAGAUUUCAGUUAGCCCUCUUGUUGAUUGUGAUUGUAAUCCAGGUGAUUCUACUACCAUUGGGUAUUUGUUGGUUUCAACAAUGUAUUCAGUUCAUUACUACGAUAUCAGAAUCACAAUGGAGAAUUCUGGUAAAGUAACACCAUUGUUGAAAUUAGUUGCUGAUAACUUGUUCAAAAGAUCUGUAGUUGUGCAUGCUUGUUGGAGUCCACAUUUACCUGAAGAAAGUCUUGUAUUGCUAGAUAAUGGGGAUUUGUUCUUAUUUGAUCUGGAUUCUUUCUCCAGACCCUCAUUACCAUCUCCAAGGUUAAAGGGUGAAAAAGUCAAAGUUUCUUGGGAUGAGUCUAUUGUUUCUGAGAAAGGUGGAUGGUUGAGCUGUGAUUUCAGUUGGCAUCCAAGAGUUCUGAUUGUUGCUCACUCUACUGUAGUUUUUCUUGUUGAUUCACGCCCCGAAAAGUGCACUAUCAUUCCUUUGUUGAAACUUGGCAUUGAGCAUGCAACAAAUGAUAUAUUUCUUGCAUUUUCCAUUUCUGCCCCUGAUCGUUUCUAUUUCACUUUGGCAUCCACUAACACAGUUUUCCUUUGUGAUAUAAGAAAACCAAUGAUUCCACUUCUUCGUUGGACACAUUAUCUUGCUAACCCUAGCUACAUUAUUGUUUCAAGUUUAUCCAACUUUAGGUCACAAUCUGAGGAUACUACAUACAAUUGGGCUUCUGAAUCAGGUUACGCCAUUUUAUUAGGGUCUUUUUGGAACUGUGAAUUUAGUCUUUUUUGCUAUGGCCCAGAUGUUAGAACACCUUCUUCUUCUUCUUCUUCUUCUUCUGGUAAUUGUCUUUAUGCAUGGGGACUCCCUUCUGAUCUUUCACUACUCCCUAAUGAAUGUCGUUGUGGUAGUUGCAUUGUGAAAGAGGAAUUCUCUAAGGAUAGGCUUCCUAGUUGGAUCAAUUGGCAACAAAAGAAAGAAUUUGUUUUAGGGUUUGGGAUUCUUGAUAGUGAAAUCUCUUCUCAGUUGUUUGAACCUGAUGGGUUUGGUGGGUUUACACUAAUUACAUUAACGUCCUUAGGGAAUCUUGAAUCACAUCGAUAUUGUGCUUCAUGGGAUUAUUCUACACAAGCUUCAGAAAAUGGGCAUGGAAAACACUCUCAGGAUUUAGAAGAUUCUUUUCUGUAUGAAACAGGUGAAGAGGAUUACAAGUUUAAAAAGCAAUUUCAGUAUUUGAAACUUGAUUGGCUUGAUGGAUACUUGAAAUCUGAUCUUUCCAGAAUCUUGAGUAGAGAACUAGUUAAGAACCUGAAUAAAGAAACCCAAAAAAACGUCUCUUUUGGUGAUGAUUUUCAUGAAGUUAUAUGCCAAAAGAUUAAGACUUUUCGUUGUGGUGGAUCUUUGAAUAUUCAUGAUGUGUUUCGUGAUGUUAGCUUGCCAACUAGCAUACAUGAGAUUGCUUUAAGAAGGAUGUGGGCCAAUCUACCCAAGAAAUAUUUACGAUUUGGGUUCUCUACUUAUUCAAAUCUUCCAGAUUUACCCAUGAAACUAAAACAUUUACCUUUAGAGUUUUUGGAAGUUCAAUGUCAUCAAUCUCAUCUACCUCCUUUUUUCUUUCGAUCACCUUCAUUUCGAAGUAGUAAGUGGUCAGACAAGAAAAAGCCAAGCAAUUCUUUAGUGGGACCCGUUGUUCCAAUCCCAUUUUUGCUAACUUUUCAUAAAACCCACAUGUUAAAAGCUGAUAACAUGUCUGCUGAUUCUGAAAUCGAUCGAGAGUGUGAUGAAGUAAUGAAGGUGGCUAAUGAAGUCAUUGCAUCAGAGUCAGAAUCUGAAGCUUAUAAUGUCACUGCUGUUUCACUUGCUGAUGAUAAUGAAGAUGUGUUAUAUGGUUCUCAGAAUCAAGAAAUGUUUGGGUCUUAUAAGUUGAAAAUGGAGGAUUCUGAUUUUGAAGAUGAGAAGCAUACAAAAGUUGUUUUUAGGAUUGGUCAAAAGGAUGCGAAAGAGAUUUUUGACUCGAAUUGCCCUUUGAAAUUUAAAUUUAAUGAAGAAGUUACGAGUUUUGGGCCAAAAGAAAUGAAGUCGUACAAGUUACUUAAGAGGCAAUAUUCCAAUUUCAAAAAAAGUUUUAGUUGUUAUCAAGACUACAUGGCUAAAUCUAAUAUCCACAAGUAAGUCUUCAAUUUAAAUGUGGUUUCCAUUUAUCAGAAACAAUAGUAGCAUUGGAAGAACUUGAAGAUGAAAAACAAGGAGAGGAGAGCCUAAGGCAUUUGAUUAAAGGGUUGCAUGCAUAUGAUGACUAUGAUGAGUGAAACUUUUAUGAACGUGCAAAGUGCAAACAAAUUUUUUGAUCUUGUUGCCACUUGUCACCUGUCUAAAAAGUUAAGAUGAAAUAUACAUGAUAGAAAUAGGUGACAACAAUCAUUUACGAGUAAAUAAUAUGACAAAGGAUUGCACGAUCAUUAUAACAGGAAAAUUGUUUCAUAUAAACUUUUUGAAGUUAAUAUCUAUAUGAAUUGUGAUCGGAAUGUAUUGGCUAGUGGCUAUAUUUUUGUAAUCAUUUCACAUCAGUUUGAUAUAUGAGAAUUAAGCUAUCAUCUA